UGCUCAGCCCUCAACAUAGACAGUAAAUACACAAUACUGUCCGCCAGAGAACUACAAGUGAAAAACUAGAAACUCCAAGGACUUGGCGGUGCUCCAUACCGACCUAGAGGAGCCUGUCCUAUAAUCGAUAAUCCACGUUUUACCUUACCGCCUCUUGCAAAUCAGCCUAUAUACUGCCGUCGUCAGCUUACCUUAUGAAAGAAACAAAGUAAGCAAAACAGUUAACAACUAAAACGUCAGGUCAAUGUGUAGCAUAUGAGACGGAAGAGAUGGGCUACACUUUCUAUUACAGAAUAUACGAACAGUACAAUGAAACCUGUACUUAAAGGUGGAUUUAGUAGUAAGACAAACAAGAAAAUUUGCCUGAAACCCGCUCUGGAGCGCGCACACACCGCCCGUCAC
rnacentral:rRNA from 1 species